CCCUUAGAUGUUCUGGGCCGCACGCGCGCUACACUGAUGCAUUCAACGAGCCUAUCCUUGACCGACAGGUCCGGGUAAUCUUUGAAUCUGCAUCGUGACGGGGAUAGAUUAUUGCAAUUAUUAAUCUUCAACGAGGAAUGCCUAGUAGGCGCAAGUCAUCAGCUUGCGUCGAUUACGUCCCUGCCCUUUGUACACACCGCCCGUCGCUCCUACCGAUUGGGUGUGCUGGUGAAAUGUUCGGAUCGGCCGUUUGUCGCGGUUUCCGCGGCUCGUGGCUGAGAAGUUCAUUAAACCCUCCCACCUAGAGGAAGGAGAAGUUGUAACA
rnacentral:rRNA from 1 species